CCCCCGCCCCCGGAGCAAGCCUGAGUCGGAGAGCAGCCUAGGCAGAGCAUUGGCUUCUCAUCCUUCUCCAUCCCUACGCCUUCCUCACCCUGUACCUCCACGCCGGCCCUGAACCAAGCGUGGUGCUGGAACUCUCGGGCUGUAUAUGGCAUCCAGCCACUGUUCCCCUUCCCUCAGGAAAAGGAAGUAAAGUUUGUUUUUCUCAGGCCAUUUGUCACAGGAAUGGGAAAGUGACCAGUAAGCCAGUGUGCCCACCACGCCACCUACGUCACUUUGCUGAGGCCAGUGGACAACCGCUUAAGGCACGCGCUUCUGCUACCCAUGUCCCAAGUGAAGACACCGAGGCUCCGUUUGGCUCCCAUUUGCUAUUGCCCCACAGCUCACAGCUGUCCAGGGUGGAACCAGGACUGGCCCCUAGAGAAGGAGUCUUAGCAGAGGAAGCCUUGGAAGAGAAGCUCUGUCAGAACCUGAUUUGUAGACAAAAGGAACAAGCGUGGCCUUCAAGUGCCUCGAUGCACACCAGGGACCAGCGGAGAGCAGCUUCCCAGGCCCCACCCUGGCCCUGGACUUCUGACUCCCGGGGCUGCCUGAUGGUCCGGCAGAUUCCCUCCUGUGGGAGAGACCCGUGCCCUGCUGCAGUGUGGAGCUGGUCAGGGGCAGGGGGGCCGUAGGGGUCUCAAAAUGGACUGGUUUCAGCAGAGAAAUGGCUCAGAUAAUAAUAAUGCUGCUGUCCAAGUGUGAGGACUGAGCUUUGCAUCCCGGAAGCCACGUGAAUGCUGAGUGGGCCCGACAAGCUGUCUGUAGUUCCAGUGCUUGGAAGGUAGAAACGGGUUCUUCAGAGUAAGCUGCUGGCCUAGCCAUGUCAGUGAGCUCGGGGUUCAACUGUGAGACCCUGCCUCAAAGAAGAGGGUGGAGGAGGGUGAUUGAGGAAGAUUCUUGAUAUCAACCUCAGGCCUCUGCAUGCACUCACACACAUAGGAACACACAGAUACCACAUGUACACACACAUAAAAAGAUGGCCUAGCCAGUAAAAGCACCUGCCACCAAGCCUAACAACCCAAGUUCCAUCCUCAGACCCACACGGUAGAAAGAGAGAACCAACUAGUACAAGCUGUCCUCUGGCCUCCGUGUGGAUGAUACAGCACAGCCCUUCCCAAAUAAACACAUGCAUAAAAAGCUUCUGCGGGGUCAGGGAGUCGGUUCAUUGAUGUCUCCGUCUCUGGAAUGAUCCAUGGCAUGGUGCCACCUGGUGUGCAAGGUCCCAGGAGUCACACAUCAGCUCUCUGCAUGAAGACAGCCAUGUUUCCUUACCCGGGGACUCGGCCCCACAGUCUGGUGGAAAAUUCCAGAUCCUGGGAAGUGCCAGCUCCAGGAGACCCCAGAGAGAGGACAUCAUGCCAAAGGUGAUGAAUCACAGAGGCAGAGGGACUAGCGGCCAGCAAGCCUGGCCACACAUCCCAGCUCUAGUGUCCAUGAGCUGUGUGACCCCAGGAGAACCACUGAACCUCUCUGGGAUUGGCUGAGGAUAGUGACAGUGGCCAGAGAAUACAGGUGCACUGCAUGAGAAGGGACAAGCAGCUGCUGUGAGCGCAGAAGGUGACCGUAGCCGUGGCCACCACAGACCCUGCCCAAGAGCUCCAUUUCCUUCUAUUGGGUGGACUGUGCUAAGUGAGCUCCAGGCCCAGUUCUGUUGGCAGCUCAGGUGUAUCCAGAAGGGACCCUGAGAUCAUGCCUUCAUCCCCAUUCCUGCACCCUGGGGCCUCGCACCCAGACACUCCUACUCCUGCCCAGCCCCUCCCUCACAGUGCCCCGAAGCCUUUCUGCCUGGGAUGGGGCUCUGAACCUUGGGUACCCUGAGAAUCCUGUGCCUCAAUGCCCAGUGUUGAAAUCAGGACACUCCUUCCUCAACAUUGCCCCCGCCCCAGCACCCUGCACCUACCCCCACAGUCCUACCUCUGGUCUCCCACCAGACUCCCACAGGAUCCUUCCAGAGCCCUCAUCUACUGCCCAGGUCCAGCACACCUGCAGAGACCAAGAGCGAAGGCAGCUUGCCUGGAGCCUGGAAGCCUCUUGCUCGGGUAGACAGCCCCUUCCCUCACUGUGGGCAGAAGCAGCCUAUAAAACGUGAGUGUAGUAGUAGUCCCAGCCUCUAGAGGGCGUUUCUGCACAAUUAAACACCUAUGGCAGAGCCCCUGGUGUACAGCAAAGGUCCCGUUCAGCUGUUAGUACGAAAAGGUUAUGGGCAUUCCCCUGUUAAUUGUUAAAAUGGGGAAUUACGGAGAGAAGGCAUCGUGCCAGACUUCCUGAGACGCACAGAGAGGAGGAACUCAGUGCCGUGGGCUGAGUGCAAGUACCCAGAAGUGACCUCUGGUCCCUCGGCUUUCCUCACUUCUCCCAUUGGAAUCUGCCUCUGCACACUUGCACCUGCUGUUCCCAGCCUCCCCUUCCCUCCCCCGCCUGCAUCCUGAAAUCCUUCAAGGGUAGCUGUGUCCUUUCUCCUCCAAGAAUCCCUACUGGAGGCUCCCCGUGACAGCUCAAACCUGCCCUGCGUGGGUCGUCCGUUUCUCCUGUUUGUGCUGCAGUUUCUAGCCUUUCUGCAUAGAUGCUUGGCUUCUCGAAGCAAGCCUCGUGGGUAUCAAAGGCCGUGGUAGAGCCUGACAUCGCAGCUGUCCACACUUGUACACCAGGCUCAGGCUCUUACCUGUGGGGACUGCUAAAGGACUGGUUGGUUAGCUUUUGGUUUCUGCCUGGAAGGCACAGGGACGGAGACCAUGCUGCAUUCAUGGAUUAAUACACAGGCUCUGGUGGCCUGCGAUCGUUCUUGCACUGACCCCAAGGUGGCGCUCCCUCCCCAUCCUCACAGUGCCCAGGUCCUGGCUCUGCCUUCCAACAUGGCAGUUGACUGGUCUUCCUUUGACAUGAGCUUGUGAAUGAAAUCUGUAGCAGCCUCAGUGAGCCUUUGACAACAUCCGGGAUUCCAGUGGCUAACCCAGGACAAGCCCUCUGUGGUGGUGUGAAUAGGAAUGGUCCCCAUAAUGUUAGUGAUUAGGGAGUGGCACUACUUGA